UUACUCUGUCUAUGGAUGUUUUUCCUCUAUUCUAUAUUUCUUGUAUGUAAUUGGGAAAUGAAAGACUUAAACUUGACUGUGUAUAUAAGAUUCUCCAUUCAAAUACCAUGGUUUUUGAUAUAUACUGCAUAUAUUCUCAUGAACAAUUUUCUUAAAGUCCAAUAUCAUGAUAUGUUCAGAAAUAGAAAAUGAGACCUUUUGAAAUUACACUACUAAUAUCACGUGACGGAGUGUCUUUUACCCUAAUCCACUGCAGAAAGCUGCCCAGUCAUCCAACAUAGGAAAUGGUCUAGAAGAAAAUGAAAUAAUUCAAGUUUGGGCUGAAAAAUGUCCACAUCCAGAGCUGAGGGAUGAUUGUCAUCUAGUCUCCAGAUCCAAGCCUGAAACACAGCAGUCUCAAACAGUUUGGGCUGAAAAAUGUCCACACCCAGAGCAGAGGGAUUAUUCUCAUCGAAUUUCCAAACCCAAGUCUGAAACACAGCAAUCUCAAGCAGUGUGGGCUGAAAAAUAUCCUCACUCAGAG